rnacentral:rRNA from 1 species
ACAUCAAGGACCUGGAGCACCCCUACUCGCUGGAGCAGAUACGGUGUGUGCUCUCCCAGGAGUCCGUCUCUGUCUCCUAGUAGUCCGUCUCCGUCUCCAUAUCCGGCCCGAGGUGUCUCCUCAUCAUCUACAACAAAGGAUCCCCAUUGCCCGCCACCAGCCUGUACCAGAGGAUCCCCACUCUGUUGGGCACAACACGAACACCCAGAACAGAUCAUCAACAUACACAACCAGUGGAACUGCUACAAAGCACCAGAAGAAGGCGAAGCAAAGAGGGCAAGAUCACAACAGCUCUUCUCGGUGAGGAAAUGCUCGGUCCUGCAGAACAACCAUGAAGCAGAAGUUAACUACGUGCUCGUCUGCGGGGUGCUUCUGGUGGUCUCACUCUUCGAGCACUUCUGGAGGCUGCUCAAGUGGUUCGCCGUGGCGCACCAUGGACGUCAACAUACUCAUGCUCAUCGCAGGUACGACCAACACUUGCCACCUUCUGAACUAUUCUGA